GACAGAGGGUGCAAACGUUGUUCGGAAUUACUGGGCGUAAAGCGCGUGUAGGCGGCAGCGUGUGUCGGGCGUGAAAUCCCACGGCUCAACCGUGGAAGUGCACUCGAAACUGCGCAGCUAGAGUCCUGGAGAGGAAGGUGGAAUGCUUGGUGUAGAGGUGAAAUUCGUAGAUAUCAAGCGGAACACCGGUGGCGAAGGCGACCUUCUGGACAGUGACUGACGCUGAGACGCGAAAGCGUGGGGAGCAAACAGG
rnacentral:rRNA from 1 species